AACGCCCCUAGCCGGCUCACUUCCGGUGGGCUUCACAAGCUGUGGGGCGUCACUGUUAAGGUGAGGUGAGAGAAUUGAGGUUUGGAGUUAUUAAGCAGCUUGCCCAAAGUCACCUUGCAGAAGAUCCCUCUGGCUGCCAUAAGGAGAAUGGAUUGGAAGGAGCCAGUAUGCCUGAGGAAGAUAGAGCUUUUAGGAGUCUCUUGUAGUUGUACAGGCAUUUAGUUACUAGAGGAUGUUUGCCACCAAGAUGGUGCCAGUGCUGAAAGAGGAAGACAUUAGGAGCUCCAACACAGAUGGCAGGAAUCCUCAGGAUGACUUGGAGAGCAACCAGUCCAGACUGUAGCAAGUCAGGUUCUGGGGAAGGCUACUUCAUAAGGAUGAGCAAUUUGAGAGAGAUUUAGACAAUCAGCAACAAGGUUGGGGUUGAAUUGGUAAUAAAUACAUGAAAAAUAAGCCAGUGGGACAAUUAAUAUUAGAUGAGAAAGGAAUAGUGUUGAAAUGUUACUUCAUGGCUCAAUUGUGCAGUUUCCACAUAAUCCCAAUAAUGUGAAUUGAAUAUUGAGCUAGACAAAAUUAUGGCAUAACUAUACUGGAAAGAUGGGGGAAUGAAAAGAGCAUUUGUGUGCAUAGAAAAGAGCUAAGCCCUCAUCCUCCAUGGUGGGGAGUCAGUGGGUAACACUGAAACAAAAUUCACCAAGCAGCAUAUCAUCUAUCUAGAGACAAGGGGGUAAAUUAAAAAAAAAAAAAAAAAUGGCUAAAAGAGGUGCCUGCAAGCACUCUGAGAGUAGUAUCUGCUUUUCUUAUCUUUUUUAAAGAUAACAAUUGUAGAAUUGUUUGAUUCUUAGUAUGUGCUUAUAUGUAUAACUUUAAUAAAAAUGAAAACAAACAAUAACAAAAAGCCUUUGUACUUACCAAAAUUACUAAUGUCAUUUGACCCAGCAAUGCUAUUUCUAGGAAUUUAUCUUAUAAAUGAUUUGGUAAAAUAAUGGAAUACAAGGUAAUUCAUUACAACACUGUCUAUAAUAAUGAUUGGAAACAAACCAGGGUUUGGUUAAAUAAAUUGUUGCUUUUAUACAAAGGAAUGCUGUUCUGCUAUGAACUGGGAACAAAAAAGCCCUUUAUGUACUGAAAAGAAAGACCUCAAAGAUAAAUUACAUGUGGAAUGUUCAUCCUUGGAGUUGAAAAAAAAAUUACAUGAAAAAUGCACAAUUCAGUACACUGUAUGUAUGCUACAAUUUGGGUUUAAAAAAAAAGAGGGCUAGAAUAUAUAAAUACACAUAAUUUGUACAAAAUAUUCCUGGAAAAAUACAUUUGAAAAACCAAAUAAUAUUGGUUGCAUCUGGGAAGAUGUAUUGGGUGGGUAGGAAAUGGGUGGAGGAAGACUUUUACCCUAAACCCAUUUUAUGCAUUCUGAAAAUGUAGAAGGGUUACUUAUUUAAAAAACUAAGUAGGCUGGGCACGGUGGCUCAUGCCUGUAAUCCCAGCACUUUGGGAGGCCAAGGUGGGCGGAUCACAAGGUCAGGAGAUCGAGACCAUCCUGGCUAACAUGGUGAAACCCCGUCUCUACUAAAAACACACACAAAAAAAUUAGCUGGGUGUGGUGGCGGGCCCCUGUAGUCCCAGCUACUCGGGAGGCUGAGGCAAGAGAAUGGCAUGAACCCGGGAGGCAGAGCGUGCCGUGAGCCGAGAUCAUGCCACUGUACUCCAGCCUGGGCAAUAGAGCGAGACUCUGUCUCAAAAAAAAAAAAAAACUAAGUAAUGCUGGCUAAUAUGGUGAAACCCCGUCUCUACUAAAAAUACAAAAAAUUAGCCGGGCAUGGUGGCACGUGCCUGUAGUCCCAGCUACUUGGGAGGCUGAGGCAGGAGAGUCGCUUGAACUCAGGAGGUGGAGGUUGCAGUGAGCCGAGAUUGCGCCACUAUGGCCUGGUGACAGACUCUGUCUCAAAAAACAAAACACACAUACAAAAAAACCUAAGUAAUGCUAAUUGUUGCGGGAAGUCAGGGACCCCAAACGGAGGGACCGGCUGAAGCCAUGGCAGAAGAACGUGGAUUGUGAAGAUUUUAUGGACAUUUUAUUAGUUCCCCAAAUUAAUACUUUUAUAAUUUCUUAUGCCUGUCUUUACUGCAGUCUCUAAACAUAAAUUGUAAAGAUUUCAUGGACACUUAUCACUUCCCCAAUCAAUACCCUUGUGAUUUCCUAUGCCUGUCUACUUUAAUCUCUUAAUCCUGUCAGCUGAGGAGGAUAUAUAUCACCGCAGGACCCUGUAAUAAUUGCAUUAACUGCACAAAUUGUACACCAUGUGUGUUUGAGCAAUGUGAAAUGUGGGCACCUUGAAAAAAGAACAGGAUAACAGCAGUUGUUCAGGGAAUAAGAGAGAUAACCUUAAACUCUGACUACCAGUGAGCCGGGCGGAACAGCCACAUUUCUCUUCUUUCAAAAGCAAAUGGAAGAAAUAUUGCUGAAUUCUUUUUCUCAGCAUGGAACAUCCCGGAGGAAGAGAAUGUGCGCCUGCGGGUAGGUCUCUGAACUGGCCCCCCUGGGCGUAGCCAUCUCUUAUGGUCGAGGCUGCAGAGAUGAAAUAAACUCCAGUCUCCCAGAGCGCUCCCAGGCUUAUUAGGAAGAGGAAAUUCCCACCUAAUAAAUUUUGGUCAGAUCCGUUGAUCUCAAAACCCUGUCUCCUGGUAAGAUGUUAUCAAUGACAAUGGUGCCUGAAACUUCAUUAGCAAUUUUAAUUUUGCCUAGGUCCUGUGGUCCUGUGAUCUCACCCUGCCUCCACUUGCCUUGUGAUAUUCUAUUACCCUGUUAAGUACUUGAUGUCUGUCAUCCACACCUAUUCGCAAACUCCCUCCCCUUUUGAAAAUCUCUAAUAAAAACUUGCUGGUUUUUGUGGCUUAUGAGGCAUCACAGAUCCUACCAAAGUGUGAUGUCUCCCCGGACGCCCAGCUUUAAAAUUUCUCUCUUUUGUACUCUGUCCCUUUAUUUCUCAAGCUGGAAAACGCUUCGGAAAAAUAGAAAAGAACCUACGUGAUUAUCGGGGCAGGUUCCCCAAUAUCUGGCGCCCACGUGGUCUUUUGCAGGAUUCCUAGUGAGAGUGCAGAUAUGCAGGUGAGGACAGCAGGAAUGAAGACUGAUGGGUGAUUGCUUGAUUGUAUGUGGAGGGGAGGGAAAGGAGGAGUCUAGCAUGAGUCCCUGAUUUCUGGCUAUACAGUGAGAUAUGAUUGUGAUGCCAUUUUCUAGUAAUCGGAAUUUGGGAAGAAAAGAAAAAUGAGUUCCUUUACUUACUGCAUUUGAGGCAAUCUGGCUAAGGAUAUCCAGCAAGUGUCUGGAUAUGUGAGGCUGAAGCCGAACAGUAAAUCCCAUUUACUUCCCAGACUUCAAUUACAACCCAAGCACAACUCAACCUGUGUUGUGAAAAGAAAGACCUCAAAGAUAAAUUACAUGUGGAAUGUUCAUCCUUGGAGUUGAAAAAAAAAAUUACAUGAAAAAUGCACAAUUCAGAACACAACCCACCUGUGUUUGGGUUGUAAUUGAAGUCUGGGAGGUAAAUGGGAUUGUCAGGGAGAGAGUAUCAAGUGAGAAGAGGUUGUAGCUGAGUACUAGUAUUAAGAAGAGAGCAGAGAGCCCUCAAGGGAGCCUGAGAUACAGGGGCCAAAUCCAGCCUACUGCCGAUUUUUGUAAAAUACUCGUUUGUUGGAACAUAGAGACAUCAUUUAUGUGUUGUCUAUAGCUGCUUUCAUGCUGUCAGAACAGAAUUAAAUAGUUGUGACGGCACCUGGCUUGCAAAGCAAAACAAUUUUCAAUAUGGACCUUUGGAGAAGUUUUUCAAACCCCAUCUAGACUACUGCAGCAGCCCCCGUAGCACAAUGAGCAAGACUGUCUAUGACCUUGGCAGUUCAUUCUUGGUAGCCUGCAGAAUAAGUUAGCUGUGGCUGGAGUUUCCUCCUUCUAGGGAAAAGGCUGCACCCAAGCUCAGGUUCCCAUGGGACUGGUGCCUUCUUCAUCACAGGAGUGGAGAUUUUUAACAUCUCAUGGACAGCUGGCAUUUCCAGACAACUCCUGUAAACCAUUGGCACUCCAAAUCCAAACCACCUGUUGCCUAGCACCUUGUGUUUUCCCCCAUUGACGAGACUGCUUCUUCAAGCUUGCCCUAUUAAAAGGGAGACUAGUAGGAGGAUGUGCUCUUCUGAAACCAAACAGUAUUGGCCUUGGCUUACCUCUCCAUGGGAUAACAUGAGGAUGGUACCUUCUUUUUUCCUGGCCCUGUAAAUUUGUAUUUCCUCCAAUGAAGUUCAUUCCUUAACCCAUGCUAUGUAGCUUUGUGGAUUCACCCUGAAGGGUGGUGUAUGACAGCUGAUGACCCAGAAGACCCAUCUUGCAUGCCAAUGGAGACCUAGCACAACAGCUCCUAAUUGAUCUCCCUGCAUCCAUGUUAAUUCUCUUCAAUUGUAGUCUUCAUCUUGCAGCUAGAAUGGGUCUUUCUAAACAGAAUUGCCCACCUUCCUCCCACAACCCAAUUGAAAACACAAUAGCUCCCCAUUGGUCUUAAGACAUACCAAAAUACCCAAAUCUUUAAUAUGGUUUAAUGAGACUCAACAUGAUCUGGCCUCUGUCUUUUUCUCCAGCCUUAUUUCCCACCAUUCAUCCCUCUGGACUGCAGCCAGUCACUUGUAGUAAACACGUUUCCUUCUGCCCUUGAGCAUGUCCUGUUCCCUUUGUCUGAAAUACCUUGCUUUGCUUAAUUAACUCCAGCUCCUAGUCAUGUUCCCAAAACAUGAAACUCAGUUGAAAUUUUACAUUUAUCUGUAUGAUUAUUUGGUUACUGUUUUCCACACUAGACCAUAAGAUUCCAUAGAUCUCUUUUAAACCAGUAGCCUAGUUUAUAUUCAAAGUGCCUAGCAUAAAGUGGGUGCUUAAUGAAAUUAGUUGAACACAUUUUUAGGCAUAAUGUAGAAAGAAGCCAGGAUCCAAAUACCACCUACUGUAUGAUUAUAUAAAAUGUCUGGAGAAAGCAAAUCUACAAAGACCGAAAGAUGAUUAGUGGUUGCCAGGGGCUAGGGUUGGCAACACUGAGUGGCUAUAAACUGGCAUGAGGAAUUUUAUUGAGGUUAUGGAAAUGUUCUAAAACUGCACAACUCAGUAAAUUUACUAAAAAUCAUUGUAUUGUACAUUUAAAAUGGGUGACUUUUAUGGUAUGUAAAUUAUACCUCAAUAAAGGUGUUUAAAAAUAAAA